AACGAACGCUGGCGGCAGGCUUAACACAUGCAAGUCGAACGGGCACCUUCGGGUGUCAGUGGCAGACGGGUGAGUAACGCGUGGGAACGUACCCUUCGGUUCGGAAUAACCCAGGGAAACUUGGGCUAACACCGGAUACGUCCGCAAGGAGAAAGAUUUAUCGCCGAAGGAUCGGCCCGCGUCGGAUUAGCUAGUUGGUGGGGUAAUGGCCCACCGAGGCGACGAUCCGUAGCUGGUCUGAGAGGAUGANCAGCCACACUGGGACUGAGACACGGCCCAGACUCCUACGGGAGGCAGCAGUGGGGAAUAUUGGACAAUGGGCGAAAGCCUGAUCCAGCCAUGCCGCGUGAGUGAAGAAGGCCUUAGGGUUGUAAAGCUCUUUCAGCGGGAAGAUAAUGACGGUACCCGCAGAAGAAGUCCCGGCUAACUUCGUGCCAG
rnacentral:rRNA from 1 species